GCCAGGCGUGGUGGCGCACGCCUGUAAUCCCAGCUACUCGGGAGGCUGAGGCAGGAGAAUCACUUGAACCUGGGAGGCGGAGUUUGCAGUGAGCCAAGAUCAUGCCACUGCACUCCAGCCUGGGUGACAGAGCAAGACUCUGUCUCAA
ensembl:misc_RNA Metazoa_SRP Metazoan signal recognition particle RNA